UUUAAAAGCACAUCUGAGCUGUAGUUUUUUCUGAGAUAAGUAAAUAGUGCCCACAUCCUACAUACUAGACAGGUGUGAAAGAUUGUCACAGAUCUGCCAACAGUUCCCCUUCUUAAACAAGAAAGGUGAAGGCUGAACAGUGGGGAUCACUGUAGUCUUUGGCAACAGGUUUCCAGGAAUUUAAGAUGAAGUGGCACCUUCUAGGGAGGAUGUUUUCUUAGACCUUCUAGAAAUAACAUAUUCCUGAGAGAUCUGCUUCUGGUUGUUACUGUGCAGUGACUAAGUCACAGUCCAUUGUUGCAGUCAUUCUGUGUGCUCUUAGGAGGAUGCACCUCCAUUCCAGCCUGCUAGUGCAGAGACACAGGGAGAGCUGGACAGGCUGGGUCUGGACAGGAGAACCAGGGGCAUCAUGAAAUCCAAGAGUGAGAUUACAGAGAGGAACUAAUGAUACUGGAGACCAUGUAUUUCCUGGUGAACAAUUUUGAUCUAUAUUGUGCCCUGCCACAGCUGCCACUGCUUUUCUUCAUUGGGCAGUAAUAUCCCUGGGGAACUAUGUCCAUUCAGUAAGUGCUCAAGGAACCAAGUACUUGUCCCUGUCACUGCAGGUUUGUUUAUGAUCCACGAUGACCACAUUUCUUUAAAAAAAAAAAGAAAAAGAAAAAAAGAAAAAAAAA